rnacentral:rRNA from 1 species
CAGCCGCCGCGGGAAUACGUAGGGCGCAAGCGUUAUCCGGAAUUAUUGGGCGUAAAGAGCUCGUAGGCGGUUUGUCGCGUCUGCCGUGAAAGUCCGGGGCUCAACCCCGGAUCUGCGGUGGGUACGGGCAGACUAGAGUGAUGUAAGGGAGACUGGAAUUCCUGGUGUAGCGGUGAAAUGCGCAGAUAUCAGGAGGAACACCGAUGGCGAAGGCAGGUCUCUGGGCAUUAACUGACGCUGAGGAGCGAAAGCAUGGGGAGCGAACAGGAUUAGAUACCCCAGUAGUCCCUGUCUCUUAUAC